UACGAAGGGGGCUAGCGUUGCUCGGAAUCACUGGGCGUAAAGGGUGCGUAGGCGGGUCUUUAAGUCAGGGGGGAAAUCCUGGAGCUCAACUCCAGAACUGCCUUUGAUACUGAAGAUCUUGAGUUCGGGAGAGGUGAGUGGAACUGCGAGUGUAGAGGUGAAAUUCGUAGAUAUUCGCAAGAACACCAGUGGCGAAGGCGGCUCACUGGCCCGAUACUGACGCUGAGGCACGAAAGCGUGGGGAGCAAGCAGG
rnacentral:rRNA from 1 species